AGCAGAGCAAUCUGCGAUGGCGUGCCUUUUGUUUAAUGAGUCUGCGAGUCAGUGUUUGUGGCAAGACUAAGGGCUUCCGGCCCGGAGUCGCAGCGAAAGCAAGUCCGAACAGGGCGCAAUAAGUCGCAGGUACUGGACCCGAAGCGGAGGUGACCUACCCUUGGCCAGGUUGAAGCAUGGGUAAAACCAUGUGGAGGACCGAACAGGUGAACGUUGAAAAGUUCUCUGAUGAGCUGAGGGUAGGAGUGAAAGGCUAAUCAAACCCCGUGAUAGCUGGUUCUCUUCGAAAUGCAUUUAGGUGCAGCGUCACGUGCUGAUGCGCGGGGGUAGAGCACUGACAAGGCUAGGGGGCACACCCGCUUACCAAACCUUAUCAAACUCCGAAUACCGUGCAAUGGAACGUGGCAGUGAGACAGUGGGGGAUAAGCUUCAUUGUCGAGAGGGAAACAACCCAGACCAGCAGCUAAGGUGCCUAAAUAACGCUCAGUGGAAAGGAUGUGGGAUUACACAGACAGUGAGGAUGUUGGCUUAGAAGCAGCCACCAUUUAAAAAAUGCGUAAUAGCUUACUCAUCGAGUGAUCCUGCGCCGAAAAUGAUUGGCGAUCAAGCGUUAUACCGAAGCUCUGGACUUUGCCGCAAGGCAGAGUGGUAGAAGAGCGUUGCAUGCGCGUCGAAGGGCGAUGGCGACUGACCCUGGAGCACAUGCAAGUGAGUAUGCAGACAUGAGUAACGUUAAGCCGGGUGAAAUCCCCGGCCGCCGUAAACCCGAGGUUUCCAGGGCAACGUGUUUCGUCCCUGGGUUAGCCGGGACCUAAGCCGAGGCCGAGAGGCGUAGGCGAUGGACAUCAGGUUAAUAAUCCUGAGCUCGCAACCCUUAAACUGGGGGGACGCAUGAGAAAAGAUGACUAGGUUAUUGAAUUCCGAGUUGAGUCCACGGACUCAGCGCAUCAUUGGAUCGAGUGCCAAGAAAAGCCCCAGCGUAUGCUAAGCGACCCGUACCGCAAACCGACACAGGUGGGUGGGUAGAAUAUACCAAGGCGUAAGAGUGAAACCUGGUUAAGGAACUCGGCAAAUUAGCCCCGUAACUUCGGAAGAAGGGGUGCCUGCAGCGAUGCAGGCCGCAGAGAAAUGGCCCAACCGACUGUUUAUCAAAAACACAGCACUCUGCAAAGACGCAAGUCGAAGUAUAGGGUGUGACACGUGACCAAUGCCGAAAGAUUAAGGCAAGGGGUUAGCCGCAAGGCGAAGCUCUAAACCCAAGUCCCGGUGAAUGUCGGCCGUAACUAUAACGGUCCUAAGGUAGCGAAAUUCCUUGUCGGGUAAGUUCCGACCUGCACGAAUCGUGAAACGAGUUGGGCACUGUCUCAACCAGGCGCUCAGUGAAAUUGUAGUGGCGGUGAAGAUGCCGCCUACCCGCAGAAGGACGGAAAGACCCUAUAGACCUUAACUGUAAGCUGUCAUUGUUUCUUCGGUUUUAAUGCUCAGAGUAAGUGGGAGACGCUGAAGACGCCCUUUAGGGGGCGUCCGAGUCAUCAAUGAGACACCACCCUUUGAAACUGGAGGAUCUAACCCUGAGCCGUGAAUCCGGCCAGAGGACCGUGUCAGCCGGUCAGUUUUACUGGGGCGGUAUCCUCCCAAAGAGUAACGGAGGAGCGCGAAGGUGGGCUCAGCCCGGUUGGCAACCGGGUGUCGAGUGCAUGGGCAUAAGCCCGCCUAACUGUGAGACCAACAAGUCGAGCAGAUGCGAAAGCAGGCCCAAGUGAUCCGGCGGUAGAAAGUGGAAUUGCCGUCGCUCAACGGAUAAAAGGUACCUUAGGGAUAACAGGCUGAUCACGCCCAAGAGUUCAUAUCGACGGCGUGGUUUGGCACCUCGAUGUCGGCUCGUCGCAUCCUGGGGCUGGAGAAGGUCCCAAGGGUCCGGCUGUUCGCCGGUUAAAGCGGCACGCGAGCUGGGUUCAGAACGUCGCGAGACAGUUCGGUCCUCUAUCCUCUGUGGGCGUUGGAAAAUUGAGGGGUUCAGACCUUAGUACGAGAGGACCGGGUCUGACGCACCACUGGUGCAUCGGUUGUACUGUCAAGUGCAUGGCCGAGUAGCUAAGUGCGGACGGGAUAAGCGCUGAAAGCAUCUAAGCGCGAAGCCGUCUCCAAGAUGAGACUUCCUUAGAGGGUCGUCGUAGACCACGACGUCGAUAGGCGGGAGGUGCAAGGGCCGCGAGGCUCUCAGCCGACCCGUACUAAUAGCCCGAAAUCUUCCGUGU
rnacentral:rRNA from 1 species